UGGCACAGUGGUUAAAAGCGCUUGGCUGCUAACCAAAAGGUUGGUGGUUCAAACCACC
rnacentral:tRNA from 1 species